UCUUCUCCUUAAACGUGAAAAUCCAGAAUCAUGAUAAAUCACAACUUCCAAUAUAUCGUUUAAGUCCAACCACACAGCUCCCCCAUGUUGCUAUUCAAAAACCACUUCUCCUCAUUCUUUGAAUCUAACGCUAUAAAUUUUCUCUCUGUCUUCAAUCAACACAACCCUCCACCUUCACAUCUACCUCAACAACCCUUUGUAGUCUCCUUCCCUUUCUUCUUCGUGUUACCGCUAUCUGUUGCGACGUUCAAAUUUGAUGCUGAGUCAAUUUGCCACUCCUCUAAAUUCGUUGUUUGUUGAAGAUAACUGGAGUGUGAAGGGAAUCGGCAAAAAGAAAAAGAAGCAUCGCUUAAAAUGAUUCAAGAUUUGACUAAACACCCAACCUUCAAUCAAUCAAGAAUGCAGAAGAUUCAGCUUGCACAAUUUGCAUUAAAUAGAAGCAGACGAAGUCGGAAUAAGCAUCUGCACUAUUCGACGGAAGACAUCAUACCAGGGUAUGUAGGUACGAUUGAUGUGAGGAGCUGAUGUGAGGAGUUUCAAUGGUACUCUGAAUUUCGAAUAGGUUGGCUAGGUUGAGGAAUAGUGAAAAGCAUUGUUUGAUGAUGCUGUGAGUAAUUUUUGUUGUUAAUCGAAGUUAAUUAAUGAUUAUUUUAAUUUAUUAAAGUUUAUUUUAUUUAACAAUUUGUGCUAAUUUAUUUGUUUGUUUUGUUGCAAGGAUCAAUUAGUUGUUAUUGCUCAUGCAGCAGAGAAGAACAAGAAUCAAUUAGCUGUUUAUUUUAUUUUGUUAGUUUUUGAAAAUUUUGAAGGUAUUUUUUUGAAAAGGUGUAUAUGUUAAUCUGUUUUGUUGGAGUUUUGUUGAAAUUUGAACGAUGUUGUAGAUAUUAUUACUUGAGGUUGUCAAUGAAAAGCUGGGAAACAUGUUGAAUAUGAAGUUAUUGUCAAGGAUAAUGAAUUGGUUGCAACUGAAUACAUUGAUGAUACAUACAAG